GCGAUGGGGUGACGCAGGAAGGUAGUCCUACCGGUGAGUGGUAGUACCGGUGCAAGGGUGUGGCCCGUGGGGUAGGUAAAUCCGUCCCGCAUACAGGGUGAGACCUGACGCAUAGCCGAGUGAGGCGAAUGGGAUGAUCCUAUGCUGCCGAGAAAAGCCUCUAGCGAGUUCCGAGCGGCCCGUACCCCAAACCAACUCAGGUGGUCAGGUAGAGAAUACCGAGGCGAUCGAGCGAACUGUGGUCAAGGAACUCGGCAAAAUGCCCCCGUAACUUCGGGAGAAGGGGGGCCAUCUAUUGUGAACGCACUUGCUGCGGGUAGCGGUGGGUGGCCGCAGAGACCAGUGAGAAGCGACUGUUUACUAAAAACACAGGUCCGUGCCAAGUCGCAAGA
rnacentral:rRNA from 15 species